rnacentral:tRNA from 1 species
UGCAGCUCAGUGGUAGAGCAUGUACUUAGCACACACAAGGCCCUGGGUUCAAUCCCCAGCA